AGCUUCAGACAAGCAGACUCUGUUGCCCAAUGAGCAGCUCUACCAGCCCCUCAAGGAUCGGGACAAUGACCAAUAUAGUCACCUUCAAGGAAACCAACUGAGGAAAAACUGAGCUCGGGACUCAGAACAGGCAUCCUUCUAUCCAGUUUUCAGAAUGAAUGCAGUACAUCUUGGAGAGCUCUUAGCAGACAGACUUUUAGCCCUAAACCUAAACUCAACGUUCCCAGGGGUCACAAAUGGAGAAGAAAGGUCAUCAGAGCAAAUUUGGGGUUUUCUCCAAUAAAAUAAAAAAUAAAAACAGGCACAUUGUAUAUGAAAACCCCACACUGUACCCCAUGAUUGCAUUAAUGUACA